rnacentral:tRNA from 1 species
CGGGAUGUAGCGUAGUCCGGUAGCGCGCUUCGUUCGGGACGAAGAGGUCGCUGGUUCGAAUCCAGUCAUCCCGACAA